rnacentral:rRNA from 1 species
GGAAUAAGUUAAGUAGCGGUGAAAUGCAUAGAUAUAACUUAGAACUCCGAUAGCGAAGGCAGCUUACAGGCUACAUCUGACGCUGAAUCACGAGAGCGUGGGUAUCGAACAGGAUUAGAUACCCUGGUAGUCCACGCCGUAAACGAUGCUCACCGGCUCUAUGCGAUAAGAGUGUAUGGGGCUAAUAGAAAUAAUUAAGUGAGCCACCUGGGGAGUACGUCGGCAACGAUGAAACUCAAAGGAAUUGACGGGGGCCCGCACAAGCGGAGGAACAUGUGGUUUAAUUCGAUGAUACGCGAGGAACCUUACCCGGGUUUAAAUGUAUGUUGCAUUAUGUAGAAAUACGUAUUUUCUUCGGAACUGCAUACAAGGUGCUGCAUGGUUGUCGUCAGCUCGUGCCGUGAGGUGUCGGGUUAAGUCCCAUAACGAGCGCAACCCUUAUGAUUAGUUGCUAACGGAUAAAGCCGAGCACUCUAUUCACACUGCCACCGUAAGGUGCGAGGAAGGAGGGGAUGAUGUCAAAUCAGCACGGCCCUUAUAUCCGGGGCUACACACGUGUUACAAUGGUCGGUACAGAGGGUUGCAUUUACGAGAGUAACAGCUAAUCCCUAAAAUCGGUCACAGUUCGGAUUGGAGUCUGCAACUCGACUCCAUGAAGUUGGAUUCGCUAGUAAUCGCACAUCAGCCAUGGUGCGGUGAAUACGUUCCCGGGCCUUGUACACACCGCCCGUCAAGCCAUGGGAGCUGAGGGUGCCUGAAGUUCGUAACCGCGAGGAGCGACCUAGGGCAAACUUGGUAACUGGGGCUAAGUCGUAACAGGUAGCCG